rnacentral:misc_RNA from 1 species
AAGUUUAGUUGAAUUGAGUUGAGUACAGUAGUGAUAGGAGAGGAAUGAGAGAAUUUAGAGAAAAAGCAAAAGAAGAUUCAAGAAGUUUAUAGGUGGAGGAAGCAGAGGAGAAUUCAUUUUUGUUACAGGGAGUUAUAGGAAUAUUGCCACAUGGAGAUGCUAACAGAAUGGCAGCAGGUGAGAAAUGCUUAAAUAGAGUAACCAAAGCCUAAAGGUGGGGAGAAGAACUUUCCUAAGAUUUUGGCAUCUUUGCUUGGGCAAGAAUUGUUCUCUUGCUGGGGAGAAUUAUCUCUUGGGUCAUCUUUUUCUUUUUCAUGUUUAAGUUUGCCCUCUGAAGUGUAGUAGAGAUUAAUGUAAUUGCAGAAGAGCUGCUGUAGUUGAAUCUGCAUUAUCAAUACAACAUAUUUUCCUUAUUCAAGGACUCUGCUUCUUACAUUCUUGCUGUAAUAUAGUUCCUAACUUAUCAAGGAUCUUACAAGUUACUUACAACCAAGGCUGAGGGUUUUUCUGUGCAAAUAUUAUACUUCCCGUGGCAUAUAACAUCCUUACAGGAUAUAGGCAUAGAGGUUGCAAAAAAACCCUAUGCAAUAUAAAAAGGUAUUGGUAUAGGCAAUGAAUAUUUGGCUAUAAAAAAUAGGUAACCAAAAAGAAGGGCUGCCCUGGGUUACAAGUGUGGGAGUUUUGUCCAUAAAGAACUUGACAAUCAACAGUUACAGGUCAGCUGAGCUUUCCAGAUUUCAAAUCUAUUAGAACUCACCUGAACCAAAAAUUAUGCACGCAUGCAUAAAAUGAUGAUAUUUCAAGUGUUGAAUAACUUGACAAACAGUUGCCCUAAUUUCUUCCUCCUAUUCCCAGACAAACCCUCUGCAACUUUGGCCUCUACUUUCUCUCUCCCUCUCUCAUCUAAAGCCAUAGAAACAUACUUUAUGCCAUCUGAUCCAGCCAAUGAAUUCCAGAAAAUUCAAAGUCAAAUACUCAAAAGCUUAGGGUUAGGGUUCAGUUUUAAUUUACAGUUUAUUGGGGAAGUUAUAUAAUACGCUAUUUUAGAGUUUUAUCAUAUUAGCUCUAGCCUAUUAAAUUUAAGUCUCCAGCAAUUUUCCAGCUUUUUUGGAAAAUCUGUCCAUAAUCCAUAUGCUUUUAGGAAACUUUAUUUUUAUUUUAGAAUUUUUUUUUUUUUAGUGUCCUUGUUGAUUAAGGGUUACUUUUGGAGUCCAAUCCAUGACUACUUAUGUUUGUAAUGUCAUUUCACAGUUUUGAUCAAUACAAACUCCAGCAGUUAUGCUUCUAUUUGUGUGAUGCAAUUCAACCUUGUGUGUGAUGGCUAUAGAAAUUUGGGUGUGAAGCCUAAACUGUUCUGAUGUUCACUUUACAUAACUCAGCCCCGCAAACAGCCCCACAAAACCCUGCUUCUUGUUUAAUUUUACUUCCUAAACUUAUACCCUUUUAAAUCCUUGCCUUCCAACUAAAACUUCCUACCCAUUUUAGCUUUAACAUGACCUCAAAUUUCAACCUUAAUCUCAUAUCGAUAAGCUUUCCUGCAUCACCAACCUAUGUUCCCAUGUCAUAUCAGCCAUCAAUUAUUAGACUUUUGGCUGGCUUCAUUUCUAGGGUGAAAAAUGGAGGCCUUUUACCCCAUUUAGCACCCACAUAGAGACUGCAUUAUGUCGUACGUUAGCCCUACCCUGCAUUUUGGCAACACAACCACCCUGCAGUAUGACAAAAUCUCUACACACAAUUCCAAACAGGUCAUCAAACAUUGCAGUUUUUAAAUUUGAGAAGUUUUUACCAUUUAGUAAUGCAGCAACUGCAUUAACCGGAGCACAAUUUACAUGCAGCAUAAAUUCAUGAAGUUUACCUGCACCUUUGAGGAGUUUGAGUUUGAUUUCCUCUGAAAUCCACUAUCCAUUCCAAAUUCUGCAAAGAAGCUUGAUGACUUUGGUGGUGAUACAUGGCUAAUCACUUGCGGACCUCCAGAAAUGAGCUCAGUAGAUUGGACAUCAUCCACAUAUUCAAAGCGAGAUACAAACGAUGUGCCAGCUUUUGGAGUGGUGGUGUUACUAGAUGAAGGAACAGGAAGAGCUGGUUCUUCAGGUUUCUGAUCAUAGAGAUUUUCACUGGGCUUUGUGGUAAGCUUUCUAGCACCAAGGCCCCCCGUCUUCCCGGUUUUCUUUGCACCAACAGGCUUCUUGAUUAAACCGGUAAUAACUGAACGAGAAGUUUUUAGGGAAUGAGCAACAUCAGUUGUUUCUUGCUUUUCUAAUGACCUUUCUUUAGGAGUCUCAUCGACCUUGUUAUCAGGAAGUCCAUUGGACACUUGGGCUGACUGAGAAGCAACAGGCAAUGAUGGCAAGCCUGCAUCUUCUGCCAUACUUUUGGCAACUUCUUUUGAAAGUAUUUGCCUAUACAAAUCAGCAGCUCUAGAUGUAUACUUGGCCUCAAUUUUCCCCCCAUCAGUCCAUCCAUGUUGCUUGAAGAAAACCUGUGCACGAUUGUUUCCCCCAAAGCUCAUCAUCCUCAAUUGCUCAUGACUCCAAGAAUCUAAAUUUGUAGACCUGACGAAACUGAUGUGUACUCCAAGGCUGCGAUGAACAGCGGAGCAAUCGAUGCAAAGGAAGAUCCCAUAAGUCACAGAUGCCCAUGUAGGGUUUUUGGCAUUGCAAUCGAAGCACAUCUUGUUAUCGGAUUUGGCUUUGAGCUUUCUGAACACUGCAUUUUUGUCGGUGAAGUUUUCAGACGCCAUUGAUUUUGGUUGCUUUCUUAGUCACACAGAAAAGGGUUUCCGAAGAGGUGAGGUGAUUGGCUCUAGCACCUCCUCAGGGAGAACGAAACGCAGAGAGAGGCCGAGACCAAUAGAGAAAAGAGAGUAAAUGCAAAUUGGGAAAACAACGAAUGGGAUAUGGGAGUUUGGGGAUUAAUUUUA